AGAAUCAACGCUGGCGGCGUGCCUAACACAUGCAAGUCGAACGAGAAAGGGUAGCAAUACCUGAGUAAAGUGGCGCACGGGUGAGUAACGCGUGACUAACCUACCUUUUAGUGGGGGAUAACCUAGGGAAACCUGGGCUAAUACCGCAUAAUACCUACGGGUCAAAGCAGCAAUGCGCUGGGAGAGGGGGUCGCGGCCGAUUAGCUAGUUGGCGAGGUAAUGGCCCACCAAGGCAGUGAUCGGUA
rnacentral:rRNA from 1 species